UGCCAGCCGCCGCGGUAAUACGGAGGGCGCAAGCGUUGUUCGGAUUUACUGGGCGUAAAGCGCGGGCAGGUGGCUAGUUAAGUCUUUUGUGAAACUCCGGGGCUCAACUCCGGACAUGCAGAAGAUACUGGCUGGCUGGAGAUCGGUAGAGGCUAACGGAAUUCCUGGUGUAGCGGUGGAAUGCGUAGAUAUUCGGAGGAACACCAGUGGCGAAGGCGGCUUUCUGGACCGAUACUGACGCUGAGACGCGAAAGCGUGGGGUGCAAACAGGAUUAGAUA
rnacentral:rRNA from 1 species